GUGUCAGCAGCCGCGGUAAUACGUAGGGUGCAAGCGUUGUCCGGAAUUACUGGGCGUAAAGAGCUCGUAGGCGGUUUGUCGCGUCGUCUGUGAAAACUCGAGGCUCAACCUCGAGCUUGCAGGCGAUACGGGCAGACUUGAGUACUGCAGGGGAGACUGGAAUUCCUGGUGUAGCGGUGAAAUGCGCAGAUAUCAGGAGGAACACCGGUGGCGAAGGCGGGUCUCUGGGCAGUAACUGACGCUGAGGAGCGAAAGCGUGGGUAGCGAACAGGAUUAGAUACCCUGGUAGUCCACGCCGUAAACGGUGGGCGCUAGGUGUGGGUUUCCUUCCACGGGAUCCGUGCCGUAGCUAACGCAUUAAGCGCCCCGCCUGGGGAGUACGGCCGCAAGGCUAAA
rnacentral:rRNA from 1 species